AGCGCCGCAGAGCCACGUCCCCAUGAUGAAACGGACGGCUAGGGUUUCACAAGUGCCGUCACUCCCUCGCAUACUCGGCAGGAGAGCACGCUCUGCCAAAAUAACGGCCCAACGGGCGAGGAGGGAAUAUUACUUUGGAUUCAGGGGGCAUGCAUACCAUCUUGUUGCACAAAAAGAGUUGAUUACUAAAACAGUUCCUCUGCAACCAACCAAUCACUGAUAUCUAAGAGAGGGGAGGGGAAGAUAUCUUUGUGCAGUUUGAUACUUAAAGGGAACAGAGAGGAGUUAUUUCCUCGAUGCAGGGAUUAGAAAGACGCACACUCCAAAAGAUUUCAUGCAAGAAAACUUAUGAAAAGAGAUCUUUUUCUAAGUUCGAUUAUUUGGGCCAUUUUUGCUUUUAUUGGAUAAGACAGCUGAAGAGAGGCAGGAAAUGUUGGGAAGAGAGAGAGGCGUGACAUGCAGCAAAUGGCUGAGGUUAGGUUUAAACCCACAGACGCUGUGGCGAGGAUUAGACGACAAACCAAAUGUCCAAGCCACAGCGUAAGUUUUGAUAUGAACGUUUAUUCAUUUAUUUCAAGUCCAUGAUCAGGAUACCAAUUAUCAACAAACAAGAAUCUGUUUAAUCCAAUACAAACCCAACAAACAUAAAACAGAUAAACUCAAACCUGACUCACUGUCAGAGCUCGGCUCACCUGCUCUGCACUUUUCCACUUUGCCUGCCGGCCACGCCCGCCUCAUCAAGCUCAGCUCAGCUCACCUGUGCACACAGCUGCUCGUCAUCAGUGAUCAUAAGGCAGUGUUUAAGCCUCUCCUGCUCACUCAAAGUUUGCCAGAUCAUUCUUUGUCAUUGACGCAGGCCUUUCCAGCACUCCUCUUUGGACUGAUUCCCUGUUGGUGACCCUUCCUGCUUUUUAUGUAAUGGUGGAAAUUACAUCAGCCCUCUGUCCCUGACCACCAGUUCUGCCUCUGUACCCUUGUUUCAGUCGACUUCUCCCCUUGGCUUCUUGGUGUAUGACAGCGUUUCAGAAAGACUUUUCCUGUUUUUUACCCGUCGACUUCUUUGACUUACCUGCAGCCUCCCUGACCCCUCAGCCUGCUUCUGUCUCGCGUCAUGCUUUCCCCUCUCAGAACUGUUUGUUCAUGAUUACUUAUCUGGCUCUGGACAUGCUGCUAAGCGGACCACAUCACCUGCUUGUCCCCCUACAGAACUGGACCCCCUCUAGUAGGAGACUUUCAGGGUGUGAAAAAUCAGAGUUCAAGUGGGGGGCCUGACCCUGGCCACAUGAGCAGUGUGGUUCCAGGAAUUUCUCUCAGUCGGUUGGACAGCGUCUUUGAUUUCACGACGUUUCCAUCGGUCUCAAACUGAUUCCUACUGGAGGCAACCUAGACGUCAGAACUCUGUAAUUUCAGUUUUUCAGCAGGCAGGCACAGCUAAGUGUUGCUUGUUUGAAAAAGAAGUAAACACAAGUGUAGUGCACCCGGGUGUCCAGAGCUCCAAGGAAAACUGGCUAAAUCUUUGAAGUGCUUCUGCAGAAAUCUUCUUGUUUAAACCACGUUGACCUUUUAACAUGUAUCAGAAAUACUGAAAGUGCACGCCGUUGUUCCAAUUUGCUGCGUCUUGGAAAUGACAGAAAAUCCUGAAAACUAAACUAAACAAAACUAUCUCACUAGGAAAAAUAUUUCGCGAAACAAUGGUAUUCAUUAGGGGCUCAAAUUACAAGACAAGAAGAACUAAUGACCUCUAAAUAAAGACAAUGCUAAACAUACCCAGGCUGAGAUUAGUGUUUGCAUGACAUUCCAGCCCCACUUAGGAUCACACCAAACCGGGCCAGCUGAUAAGAUUCUGUUGAACAGUAAAGCAUCUCCGCACCUCGAGGGACAGGCGGCCUCUCACAGAGCCGCCAUGUGACCGAUUGUCAUCACACAAACCACAGGUCCACUGCCAGCCGCCGAGAGCUCCAGACCUGCCAAAGAUAGCAACAAGCCAGCCUGCAUGGGACUAUGAGCGCUGCUGCAGAGAGAGGACGAAUAAGUAUACACCGACCGCAGAGAGAGCGGCCCUCUGUGAAGACUCUCAGUUCAGCGUGUCAAAUGACGGGCUGCAAUCACGCGACUCCAGCCCGCCUUUAACCCAACAUCCGUCUGCUGCCUUGAACCGUUGAUGAAUGGCUCCAUCAGGGUGAACAUGGCAGCAGUUUAAUGUGAAAUGCUUGUGAGGAUUAAGCUGCACAUAAAUCUUGAUUAAGGAGACUCCAUGUGCCGCGUCGUGAGGCAGCACAUUGAUGACUGCUCUGAUGAUGAUGAUGAUGAUGAUGAUGAUGCUAAUGGGAGCAGAUACUGUAGAUAAAGUGGGUGGAAACUGUAUAUUCAAGUUGUUAGUGCUCAUUAAGUGUGGAUCAUUGGUGCAUGUUGAGUUUCUGUUACGAAGCUUCAUGAAACAUCUGUCGACCAGAAGUUUAAGUUUAGAGGGUAAAAUCAUUGAAUGUGACUUUACACUGUAUCUUAUGUUGUUUUUAACUCUACAUUUAACCUGUGAGUGUGAGUGUGUGUGUGGCUGGUUGUCUGUCUCUAUAUGUCAGCCCUCUGAUUGACUGGCGACCCGUCCAGGGUGUAACCCCGCCUCUCGCCCAAUGACAGCUGGGAUCAGCUCCAGCCUCCUAACAACCACCAACGGGAACAUCCGAAUAGUUAAUGGCUGAAAUGUUGUUUUUCUGAUUCAGUCGUCCUGACUGUGUUCUUAGUGGUGACUUUGUCUCUUACAGUUGAUGGGAUGGAGAUGUGAGGAUUAUGAUUUUAGACUGUAUGAAACAUGGACGUAGUCUCAGCGACGUCACCCGUUGGUUACUGAAAGGGAGCCUAAUUGUAACCCAGGUUAAUUAUGGGUCUAGAUUUAGCAAUCUAUUUUUUUUUUCUGUGCAAGAGGAGUGACCUCUGUGAACCUCCAUAAAUUAUGAUACAUUUUUGUUGUUUUUUAUGCAUUAACUUCCCUAUUUUUUUCUUUUAACAUUCCACAAUCUCACCUGAACUCUGCUAAAAUCCAUCAUCCAAUUAGAGCUCAACCCACUAAUCAAAAACAUCCGAUUCACGAGGUCACUUCCUCUCAUCUCCUCCAACUCGCGCUCACACAGCAGAGUGAAAAAUUGUUUGAUUGAGGUGGGCAAAUUGAAAAUGCCGACUCAAAUAUUUAGUGAAAUGUAUCAGCGUCACAUUUGGCAUUUACAGAACUGCAGUUUAUUGCAGAAGUCGCCCCUCGGUGAGGAUUGACAAUCUUAUUAUGCAAGACAAAGUUCUUUAAAAACGGACUUAUGAGUGUUGUCUUAUCUGAAAAAGGUUUAUUCAUCUACUUCCUUUGACUAUAUCCUAAAGAAAAAUUCUAAAAACAAAGACAGGUUGUGUUUAGCCUUCCCCAAGGACACCUGGAAGAAACAUGAGUUUCACUUAGCUUGUUUGUUUUUACAUGAGUCGACUGUUGUUGUCAGCUGAAUAGAGGCUUUUAUUUUACAAAAUAAAAAAGAAAUAAUAUUCAAA